AGGGGUAUCGGUUAAUGGCUAAACCAAUGGUCUCCAAAACCAUGACUGGGAGUUCGAAUCUCUCUACCCCUG
rnacentral:tRNA from 1 species